rnacentral:rRNA from 1 species
UACGUAGGGGGCGAGCGUUGUCCGGAUUUAUUGGGCGUAAAGCGCGGGCAGGCGGCCCGGUAAGUCGGCCGUGAAAGCGCCGGGCUCAACUCGGCGAGGACGGGCGAGACUGCAGGGCUGGAGCAAGGCAGAGGGCGGUGGAAUUCCGGGUGUAGUGGUGGAAUGCGUAGAGCUCCGGAGGAACACCAGUGGCGAGGACG